rnacentral:rRNA from 1 species
CUUUGAUUAUGGCUCAGGACGAACGCUGGCGGCGUGCCUAACACAUGCAAGUCGAACGAAGCUUGAUUUAUGAUUUCUUCGGAAUGAAUAAUGAUAUGACUGAGUGGCGGACGGGUGAGUAACGCGUGAGCAACCUGCCCUUCGGAACGGGAUAGCGUCUGGAAACGGACGGUAAUACCGUAUAACGUAUUUUUACCGCAUGAUAGAAAUACCAAAACUGAGGUGCCGAAGGAUGGGCUCGCGUCUGAUUAGAUAGUUGGUGGGGUAACGGCCUACCAAGUCGACGAUCAGUAGCCGGACUGAGAGGUUGAACGGCCACAUCGGGACUGAGACACGGCCCAGACUCCUACGGGAGGCAGCAGUGGGGAAUAUUGCACAAUGGGGGAAACCCUGAUGCAGCAACGCCGCGUGAAGGAAGACGGUUUUCGGAUUGUAAACUUCUGUUCUUAGUGAAGAUAAUGACGGUAGCUAAGGAGCAAGCCACGGCUAACUACGUGCCAGCAGCCGCGGUAAUACGUAGGUGGCAAGCGUUGUCCGGAAUUACUGGGUGUAAGGGGAGCGUAGGCGGGAAGCCAAGUCAGCUGUGAAAACUACGGGCUUAACCUGUAGACUGCAGUUGAAACUGGUUUUCUUGAGUGAAGUAGAGGUUGGCGGAAUUCCGAGUGUAGCGGUGAAAUGCGUAGAUAUUCGGAGGAACACCGGUGGCGAAGGCGGCCAACUGAGCUUUAACUGACGCUGAGGCUCGAAAGUGUGGGGAGCAAACAGGAUUAGAUACCCUGGUAGUCCACACUGUAAACGAUGAUAACUAGGUGUGGGGGGUCUGACCCCUUCCGUGCCGCAGCUAACGCAAUAAGUUAUCCACCUGGGGAGUACGACCGCAAGGUUGCAACUCAAAGGAAUUGACGGA